rnacentral:rRNA from 2 species
ACCCGGAUUAAUACCGCAUACGUCCUACGGGAGAAAGCAGGGGAUCUUCGGACCUUGCGCUAUUGGAUGAGCCUAAGUCGGAUUAGCUAGUUGGUGGGGUAAAGGCCUACCAAGGCGACGAUCCGUAGCUGGUCUGAGAGGAUGAUCAGCCACAUCGGGACUGAGACACGGCCCGAACUCCUACGGGAGGCAGCAGUGGGGAAUAUUGGACAAUGGGGGCAACCCUGAUCCAGCCAUGCCGCGUGUGUGAAGAAGGCUUUCGGGUUGUAAAGCACUUUCAGUAGGGAGGAAAACCUUAUGGUUAAUACCCAUGAGGCUUGACGUUACCUACAGAAGAAGCACCGGCUAACUCCGUGCCAGCAGCCGCGGUAAUACGGAGGGUGCAAGCGUUAAUCGGAAUUACUGGGCGUAAAGCGCGCGUAGGUGGUUUGGUAAGCGAGAUGUGAAAGCCCCGGGCUUAACCUGGGAACGGCAUUUCGAACUGUCAGACUAGAGUGUGGUAGAGGGUAGUGGAAUUUCCUGUGUAGCGGUGAAAUGCGUAGAUAUAGGAAGGAACACCAGUGGCGAAGGCGGCUACCUGGACCAACACUGACACUGAGGUGCGAAAGCGUGGGGGAGCAAACAGGAUUAGAUACCCUGGUAGUCCACGCCGUAAAACGAUGUCAACUAGCCGUUGGGACUCUUGAAGUCUUAGUGGCGCAGCUAACGCACUAAGAUGACCGCCUGGGGAGUACCGCCCGCAAGUUAAAACUCUAUAUGAAUUUG